UUCAGCUAAACCAAGUAUUGAAGGUGAUGCCUGCCCAGUGACCCAUGUUCAACGGCCGCGGUAUCCUAACCGUGCGAAGGUAGCGCAAUCAAUUGUCUCAUAAAUCGAGACUUGUAUGAAUGGCUAAACGAGGUCUCAACUGUCUCUUACGGAUAAUCAGUGAAAUUGAUCUUCCCGUGCAAAAGCAGGAAUAAACACAUAAGACGAGAAGACCCUGUGGAACUUAAAAAUCAGCAGCCACCUCACAACAAAGCUCAACCUACUAGGCUUACCACUAACAAGAUGCUGGCUUGCAUUUUUUCGGUUGGGGCGACCUUGGAGAAAAACGAAUCCUCCAAAAAUAAGACCACCCCCUCUUAACUAAGAGCAACCCCUCAACGUGCUAACAGUAACCAGACCCAAUAUAAUUGAUCAAUGGACCAAGCUACCCCAGGGAUAACAGCGCAAUCUCCUCCAAGAGCCCCUAUCGACGAGGAGGUUUACGACCUCGAUGUUGGAUCAGGACAUCCUAAUGGUGCAGCCGCUAUUAAGGGUUCGUUUGUUCAACGAUUAACAGUCCUAC
rnacentral:rRNA from 1 species